AUUGAACGCUGGCGGCAGGCCUAACACAUGCAAGUCGAGCGGAGCGGCGGACGGGUGAGUACUGCCUAGGAAUCUGCCUGGUAGUGGGGGAUACCGUCCGGAAACGGGCGCUAAUACCGCAUACUAUCAGAUGAGCCUAGGUCGGAUUAGCUAGUGGGGGGGGUAAAGGCAUACCAAGGCGACGAUCCGUAACUGGUCUGAGAGGAUGAUCAGUCACACUGGAAGGUAGAAACGGGCCAGACUCCGACGGGAGGCAGCAGUGGGGAAUAUUGGACAAUGGGAGAAAGCCUGAUCCAGCCAUGCCGCGUGUGUGAAGAAGGUCUUCGGAUUGUAAAGCACUUUAAGUUGGGAGGCGUUACCAACAGAAUAAGCACCGGCUAACUUCGUGCCAGCAGCCGCGGUAAUUC
rnacentral:rRNA from 1 species